AACGCAUUUUGUCACCUGCUCAAAGACUCCAGAGGACACUUGAUAACAAUCUCCAGGCACCAGACUUUGAAAUUAUAUCUGACGAAGAUGAACUUGUUACUCUAAUUUAUGCAAGGAACAAAUAUAUUCCUCCUAGUGAGAUUGUUCUUGGAGCUAUGCUGCUCGUAUCACCACCUACUAAUACAGAUUACUUGCUGUCUCUAUCUCCAAUGGCAGAUGCUGGAAGUGAGUUUUGAG
rnacentral:misc_RNA from 1 species